rnacentral:rRNA from 1 species
GAUGAACGCUGGCGGCGUGCCUAAUACAUGCAAGUCGAGCGAACAGACGAGGAGCUUGCUCCUCUGACGUUAGCGGCGGACGGGUGAGUAACACGUGGAUAACCUACCUAUAAGACUGGGAUAACUUCGGGAAACCGGAGCUAAUACCGGAUAAUAUAUUGAACCGCAUGGUUCAAUAGUUAAAGACGGUUUCGCUGUCACUUAUAGAUGGAUCCUCGCCGCAUUAGCUAGUUGGUAAGGUAACGGCUUACCAAGGCAACGAUGCGUAGCCGACCUGAGAGGGUGAUCGGCCAAACUGGAAAUGAGACACGGUCCAGACUCCUACGGGAGGCAGCAGUAGGGAAUAUUCCGCAAUGGGCGAAAGCAUGACGGAGCAACGCCGCGUGAGUGAUGAAGGUCUUCGGAUCGUAAAACUCUGUUAUUAGGGAAGAACAAAUGUGUAAGUAACUAUGCACGUCUUGACGGUACCUAAUCAGAAAGCAACGGCUAACUACGUG